GCGGAUGUAGUAUAACGGCUAUUAUGAGACCUUGCCAAGGUUUAGAUCCGAGUUCGAUUCUCGGCAUCCGCUCCA
rnacentral:tRNA from 1 species